ensembl:snoRNA
AUCCUUUUGUAGUUUCUAAGCGAGAUGAUUGGGUGUUCACGCGCAUGUGUGAGAUGCGCCUUCCUCAAACCUUGUUACGACAUCGGCACAUGACCCUUCCGACA